GAUGAAGAACGUAGCGAAAUGCGAUAACUAAUGUGAAUUGCAGAAUUCCGUGAAUCAUUGAGUCUUUGAACGCACAUUGCGCCCCCUGGUAUUCCGGGGGGCAUGCCUGUUCGAGCGUCAUUUCAACCCUCAAGCUCUGCUUGGUAUUGAGUCCAUGUCAGCAAUGGCAGGCUCCAAAAUCAGUGGCGGCGCCGCUGGGUCCUGAACGUAGUAAUAUCUCUCGUUACAGGUGCUCGGCGUGCUUCUGCCAAAACCCCAAUUUUUCUAUGGUUGACCUCGGAUCAGGUAGGGAUACCCGCUGAACUUAAGCAUAUCAAUAAGCGGAGGA
rnacentral:misc_RNA from 1 species